GUGCACACACUGAAAUGUCUCGCCUUCUAUACUUAUCAUUGAUAUUAUGUUGAUAGUCCAAAGUAUAAAGCUAAGCUUUAUUACAACUGUCACAUAAACUUAACAUUAACCAAGAUAACUAAACAAAGACCAAUGAACCUUGAAAAUUAGUUCAAGGUCAGAUAAACCAUGCCAGGCAGACAUGUACAGCUAACAAUGCUUCUAUAAAACAUAUAUAGUUGACCCAUUACUUAAAGUUUAAGAAAAAUCUAGACCAAAACACAAAAACUUAACACUGUGAAAUGAACCGUGAAAAUGAGGUCACGGUCAAAUAAAACCUGCGCGACUGACAUAAAGAUCAUAAAAUAUUUCCAUACCCCAAAUAUAGUUGAC
rnacentral:lncRNA from 1 species